rnacentral:lncRNA from 1 species
CAAGUUGCUGAUGGGAACUGAUUUGUAACGAACUCAUGUCCAAUGGUUAUUGAACUGUUACUAAUUUGUUAUGUCUAUAUUAUUGUUACAUAAUUUUUUCUAUCAAACGCAUUAUUGUACUAACGUAUUUAGACAGGUAGACGGGAUCUUGGACUACUUUUUGGUCAUGUAAUCACCUAUACUUCUUUGUUGAACCUUUCAAAGAAUGGAACCUUUUACGAGGAGGACUUCGAUCAUAGCAAGGGUUUACAGGAGGGAGGCGGAAGGCUUGACACAUGCUUUUGUUACUCUGGACUAUAUGUUUAGAUGCAGAUAAUGUUGGGACUACACUUUUGAUCUCUAACAUUGUACUUAGAUUUUAAGACAAUUAUGUUGUGCAUGCAGUUUUUGUAAAUAGGUUUGAUCUUAAGAAUUGUAUGGAUGGAGCGUUACUUGGCUAAGGUUGUAAUUACCGUAAAUGGCUAAAGUGUAAG